rnacentral:rRNA from 1 species
UACGUAGGGGGCAAGCGUUGUCCGGAUUUAUUGGGCGUAAAGAGCGUGUAGGCGGCUUGGCAAGUCCGCUGUGAAAACUCGAGGCUCAACCUCGAGCUGUCGGUGGAAACUGCCUGGCUAGAGUCCGGAAGAGGAGUGUGGAAUUCCUGGUGUAGCGGUGGAAUGCGCAGAUAUCAGGAGGAACACCGGUGGCGAAGGCGGGAUCCUGGGUCAGUACUGACGCUGAGGAGCGAAAGCGUGGGGAGCAAACAGG